UGAAGGACCGAGCUAGUUGCUGGACCUCUGCUGCCUUGUAGAGUCCAGUUGUUUGUCUAUCCACAGCUCAAAAUCAUUUUUGUUAUUAGUGACUCAAAGAGUGAGAAGCAGUACCAACCCAGCUGGGGUGGCAAGUGGGUUUUCUCAUGUCAUUGUACAUUUUCUUUUCAUCAGUGAUCACUCUGUAGCAGGCUAUGUCUGUAUAUGACAUCUUAUACUACAUUCAUCCUUCUUAAAUUAUUUUAUGACUCUUGCUCUGAUCUCCAGGGUACCCCUGAUUUGGGAGAGUACAGAGCUGAAAACCUCUGGCCAGUGAACCAUGCAUUUCUCACUUAUAAGUUGCUUUCUCCUGACAAAAAAUGGUGGCAAACCAUAGCCAUCAGCGAAAAUCCCAAUGCUGUUUUUCCGGGGUGAUUAAUAUAGAAGCCAGCUCAAUCUGGGCUUAGUUUACACUGUUGGCUAUAAUUAACCUUUUAUUUUUGGAAGUUAAUAGAUGUAAACUUCUUCCUUCAUGAAAUGGAAAGGCAAGGGGUAUUUCAGAGGUCUUACGCCCUGCAUUAAAGCUGGUCCACAUGGAAGGAGAUAGAACAGGUAUGUAGCCUUUUCAGUUUUUGUGCGAUGCACAGAGAAGGGACAAGAGAUUUCCCUCCCUUCCACCACUGAGUGAUGAGUAUUUUCAAUAGUGGCUUCAGUUAAAAAGUGUUAGGUCUUACAAUAAACAUUUUUUCAGCGCCCUCUGCUGUGAUCAUUAGCAGCAUUGAGGAAGAUCAAGCCUGAUAGCCUUCAAAUGUUCAACUUAUUAAAAGCUACCCCUCCUUUUCCUCAGUGCUCUCUCCUCCCUUACCCCUAAUAACACAUUCCUGCUAAAAGCCAUCCAGUCCCACCCUGAAAUACAAGUGGUGCUGGUUCCACUCAGCCAACCUCAGCUGCACCUGGAGCGUGAGUGGACAGGGUCCCUGCCUUAAUGUUUCAUACUCCAGUAAAUCCAGUUUAAACACUCUUGCUUUCCAAAAAUCUUGGAUCCAAAGGGCAGAGGCUUAGAUAAAAAAAAAUCCUAAAGGAGAUUUAAUGUUUGAUAUACAAAUGUUAAGAUGCUAGAGCAAUUCCAAAUAUAUAUUUAAUAUAUGAAUAAUUAAGUACCUCAAACCAGCAACAAAUAUGAGGAAUGAAGGAUGUGAAUAUGAUGACUGAAAUGAGUUUCCUUCAAUUCCCGGACACAGGACUGAGAAAAAUGGGGGAGUCAUCCCCAACCAUCCUUAAACUCUCAACAUUUUGACCUAAAAGCAACAGUUGUAAUAACAGAGAAAUUUUUCAGAGCAGGGCCUUGCGGGGGGGAGGUGCUGUCCCCAGAAGGAGAGCAAACCUCCUCCUAACCCUGUUGUGAAAUAUUCAGCAGAGGAACAGUUGAACACCUGAAAACUUCAAGACUUUAGAGACUUGAAAUAAGGAUCUAAACUGUUAGAUUUUCACCAGUUUGGGGGGGCGGCGGGAAGAGGGAAGUUUGGUGUCAUUUUAAUUGCUUUUAAUUAGGGUUAAAAUUAAAACGAGUCUUUUCAACAACAGAGUAAUAAACAUGGAGGAAGAAGGUUAAGAAAGGGUUUAAUUUUCUCACGGGGGAGGGGAGGUUUUGGUGGGGUUCCUUUAGCCACCGAAAGGCUGCAGCGUUACUCGGGCUGGAGGCGGAGGGGGGUGGAUGUGUCUCUCUGCUCUGCCCUCGUGAGGCCUCGCCCGGAGGCUGCGCCCGGCUCUGACCCGGCACAAGCAGGAUGUGCCCGCCGGGGCGGCACGAAGGGGCAAGGAAGCAGCGGGCACAAAGAUGCUCAGAGGGCCGGAGCACCUCUCCUAUGGAGCCAGGCUGGGAGAGCCGGGGAUGUCCAGCCUGGAGAGGAACGGGCUCCGGGGGAGGCCUCACUGCGGCCCUCCAGUGGCCGAAGGGGCCUAUAGCAAAGGCAGAGAGCGAUUUCUUCACAUGGGCAGUGAGUGAGAGGAAAAGGGGGAACGGUUUAAAACCAGAAGAGGGACGAUUUAGAUUAGAUGUUAGGAAGAGCUGUGAGGGUGUCGAGACACUGGAACAGGCUGCCCAGAGAAGCUGUGGAUGCCCCAUCCCUGGAAGGCACUAUUCCAGGCCAGGCUAGAUGGGGCCCUGAUCACCCUGAUUUAGUGGAUGGUGUCCCUAUCCUUGGUAGGGGAGUUACAACCAGAUGAUCUUUAAGGUCCCUUCCAAACCAAAGCAUUCUGGGCCUCCACGAGGGUGCAAAGAGGACACCAGCUACCGGACCAUGGAAUGUUACCAAACGGUUGCCAAGCGGGCUCCUGCACAGAGGGGUCAGGAGCCCAACACUCCAUCGACAGUUGGCAGUUGGCGGAUACUCUGCUGGGAAGCAGGUGCAGAGCCUCUGUCUUCUCUGUCCCCGGUGGGAACAGAAGGCGAUUUGCUGAUAAUUUUCAAGAAAAAUUCUCAAGUAACUGUACAGAUUUGGAAGAACAUCGUUCUCUGAUUCCUAGAAAUCAGGACUUUGUAGAUUGUUCUACCUAAGGAAUAUAAGGGAUCGAUUGCUGUAACUUCCCUGAAAUUCCUUUUUCGGUGUUUGUCCCACUGACUUUUCCAGUGGUUUUAGAUCACAAAACACCAUGAGCACAAAUCGGCGAAAGCGCCGUGGAGGAGCCGUUAAUUCCGGACAAGCUUCGAAACGAAGCAGGCUGCUGGCUUCUAGUGCAGGUGAAGGUUCAGCAGCAGAGCCAAUAGACCUCGAAGAAAGUCGUGUGCUUUCUUUUGAUCUUGCUGUUGACGAAAUCAUAGAUCUCACAGGCGAAUCUGCUGAGCCUGAAGUCAUUGAUCUAACUGGUGAUGAUUCUGUUGUACAGUGGGAGCAGAAC